rnacentral:rRNA from 1 species
GACGAGCUCCCCAAACGUUAUUCGGUAUUACUGGGCUUAAAGAGUUCGUAGGCGGUCUUGUAGGUGAGGUGUGAAAGCCCUCGGCUUAACCGAGGAAUUGCGCUUCAAACCACAAGGCUUGAGGGAGGUAGGGGUAUGCGGAACAGAUGGUGGAGCGGUGAAAUGCGUUGAUAUCAUCUGGAACACCGGUGGCGAAAGCGGCAUACUGGACCUUUUCUGACGCUGAGGAACGAAAGCUAGGGUAGCGAACGGG